CGUCUAUAUACGUAUAGCAUAUCAAUAAGCGGAGGAAAAGAAACUAACAAGGAUUCCCUUAGUAACAGGCGAGUGAAGCGGGAAGAGCUCAAAUUUGAAAUCUUCAAGGUUCUACCUUGACGAAUUGUAGUUUAAAGAAGUGUUUUCUGUUAGGAGGAGUAGCAAAAGUUCUUGGGAUAGGGACAUCAUAGAGGGUGAGAAUCCCGUAUUUGGUUAUUCUUUCUAGCUUUGUGAUACACUUUCAAAGAGUCGGAUUGUUUGGGAAUGCAGUCCAAAAUGGGUGGCUAAAUUUCAUCUAAAGCUAAAUAUUGGCGAGAGACCGAUAGCGAACAAGUACCGUGAGGGAAAGAUGAAAAGAACUUUGAAAAGAGAGUUAAACAGUACGUGAAAUUGUCAAAAGGGAAGCGUUUGACACCAGUGUUGUUUUUCCGAAAAUCAAUUAAGAGUGGCUUGAUUUUGUGCUGUAUUGACCUUAUCAGCUUUCCUCACUCUUUUUCGAGUCUUUCUUAAUGCACUUUUCGGUUAACAAGUCAACAUCAAUUUCUUUUGUUGUAAAAGGGUAUUUGGAAGGUGGCUUUCUUUUCGGAGAAAGUGUUUAUAGCCUUAUACCUCUACAAUCGGAGAGAUUGAGGUCUGCAGCGUAGAUCCUUCGGGGCUAGAUACACUUGUGCUAAGUUAUAGCUUUUCAUAGACAACUUGUUGACUAUGUUUAGUCAUGUAGCUUACCCGCUUGUGCUAUUUUACCUACGCUUAGGAUGUUGAGUCAUCACACAUCUCU
rnacentral:rRNA from 1 species